rnacentral:rRNA from 1 species
UGGUCAAGUUAUUAAGGGUGCAGGGCGGAUGCCUUGGCACUAGGAGCCGAUGAAGGACGUGAUAAGCUGCGAUAAGCUUCGGGGAGUUGCACGUAAACUUUGAUCCGAAGAUUUCCGAAUGAGGAAACUCACUUAGAGUAAUGUCUAAGUAUCAUUAAGUGAAUACAUAGCUUAAUGAGGGGAACUCAGGGAACUGAAACAUCUAAGUACCUGAAGGAAGAGAAAGAAAUUCGAUUCCGUAAGUAGCGGCGAGCGAACGCGGAUUAGCCCAAACCAAUAAAGUUUUCUUUAUUGGGGUUGCGGACAUAUCAUAACGAAGAGGUAUCGUAAUUGAAGAGGUUUGGAAAGACCCACCACAGAAGGUAAUAGUCCUGUAUGUUAAACGAGAAGACUUUAGAUAUGAUCCAGAGUACCACGGGACACGUGAAACCCUGUGGGAAGCAGGAGGGACCACCCUCCAAGGCUAAAUACUACCUAGUGACCGAUAGCGUAUAGUACCGUGAGGGAAAGGUGAAAAGAACCCCGGGAGGGGAGUGAAAUAGAACCUGAAACCCUGCACUUACAAGCUGUGGAAGCACAUUUCUUGUGUGACCGCGUACUUUUUGUAGAACGGGCCAACGAGUUACGUUAAGUAG